GUGUGGGUGGCUUAGUGGGUAGAACCUAGGACUUGUGAGCGGAAGGUCCCAAGUUCGAAUCUCGCCAGAGGCA
rnacentral:tRNA from 1 species